rnacentral:rRNA from 1 species
UACGGAGGGGGCUAGCGUUGUUCGGAAUUACUGGGCGUAAAGCGUGCGCAGGCGGUGAUGUAAGACCGAUGUGAAAUCCCCGGGCUUAACCUGGGAACUGCAUUGGUGACUGCAUUGCUGGAGUAUGGCAGAGGGGGGUGGAAUUCCACGUGUAGCAGUGAAAUGCGUAGAGAUGUGGAGGAACACCGAUGGCGAAGGCAGCCCCCUGGGCCAAUACUGACGCUCAUGCACGAAAGCGUGGGGAGCAAACAGG